CUAGGGACUCCUUCAGGUUACUGGAUUGGAUAAGAUAGAAUUCCAUGGAAUUUCGUUGCCAAACCAGUGAAGUGCUAAUUUUGACAUUUGUACCAGCUAACACAGCUGUGAGGAAGCACUCCAAUGCACAUCUAAGGCAAGACAAGAAGAAAAAAAAGUAUUGGGAAAAAUGCUGCCCUCCUAUCCUCAAGGGCCAGUGGGAACUCUAAUUUUGAUUGGGUGAGUUACAAUUCCACUGAAUUUUACCACUGGACCAGUGAAGGGCUAAUUUUGUCAUUUGUACCAGCUAACUAAUUUGGGAAGAAACAGAACAACACAUUCCUGAGGUGAAUGUGAAACAAGAACUUGAUUUUAUGUAAAAGAGUUUAUCCCUUCUACUUGAGGUGUGAAGGAAAGUAAUGGAAAUCCUUCUGCCCUCCCAUUCUCAAGGGCUGGGGGAAUUACAAUAUUGAUAGGAAGUGAUGUUGGUGGAAGACAACAUUUUGCCCCUUGGAAUUCUCACAUGCACACCAAAGAAGUACUGUUUUAGUCAUUUGCACCAGCUUCCUUCUCCAGGAAAGGCCAAAACAAUGCACUCCAAGGGAAGCAAGAGGAAAACUCCAGAGAAUGAGCUGACAACUUAGUCCCCGGUCAGUGGCUCACUAUGCCCACCUGUGGUGUGUCGGACACCCUCGCAGAACAUGACUUCCUUGGAACUCUUUGGGGAGUGAAUGUUAUCAGCAAACUACCAAACCAACAACCCCUUAGACAAAGAGCCUCCUCACGUGUGCAUUGCCUCGGCCACCCGCUAAAGGUGAUGGCCACAAAGAGGUGGAUUUGUUGAGUUGGUGCCAUUCCUUCUACUGCCAGGUUCACCAAAACAUUGAUUCAGUCUUCCUUAUGCAUGGAGACUCCUCUCUUCCCUGUGUUGCAGUGGAUACCUCCUGCAGAUAAGAAAUGCUUAACUGAGAAAUGCUCAUGUUGGGAUAUCAUCGAUGAGACUUUAAUUUGGGCAUGGUGACUGUUUCCCUUGCUGCCACUUGACUCAAUCCCAGGAGCCUCAGUAGAGGAUAUAAUAUUACACAAGAUGCUCAAAAUGGUGGAAUUGCUCAGUAUUCCCAUAAAUAUACAUUUAUAAUUUUCAUUUGCCACAUGGUAAACUGAAAAAUAGAGACAUAUUAAAAAGAAACUCUGCAUGAUUUUUUCAAAAAUUCAAAGCAUAUUUAAAUAAUAUAUGAAUUAAAUGCCCUCCUCUCUUCCAGUUCUGUCCCUUAGUUUUCCUCUAUUGAGUGAGCUACAUGCAUUCUUUAGCACACAGAUGCACACAUACACACAAGCCAUUUUGGGGAAGGAUCCGGGAGUGUGGCCAUAUUGUAACACAUUUUUCUGCAAAUUACCUCUUUCAUUUAGCAGCUCUUAUUCAAUGGCCUUUUUCUUUUUCAGUAAUACAUACACAUCUGUGUCAUUUGUUGAAUGAUGACAUGAAUGUUUUGUAGAUGAAAUAUAAUUAAAUGUUUUAAGCAUUUCUCACUCAUAGAUAUUUAUGUUAGCACCAAAUUUCUGUGCAAUGAACCUCCCUCUAUAUAAAUAAUUUUGCAUUUGUCUAUUAUAUCAUAAUAAAUUAUUAUCAGUUGAAUUACUGGGAUUAAGUAUAUGCACACUUCAUAUUUUGAAAAUUAUUGCAAGAUUGCCUUCAAAAAAUGUGGUUAACAACUUUAUCCUCAAAUGGCAAUGAAUGAGAUUGCCAGCUUUCCUACAACCUCACAGACAAUGGAUUUCAUAAAUAUUUAAAAUUUUUGCCAAUGUGAUCACCCAACUAUUGUCUUAAAUUGUAUUUCUUUUGUUUUUGAGUUUGGUCAUUUUUUCAUGUUUAUUAGCCAUCUGUAUUUUUUAAUUUCUUCUUUAUGUCCAAUUUUGUGGGUGGGAGGAGGAUUUAGUCUCUUCUGGAUUUCAAAGAGCUCAUUUACUAUUUUGGAAAAUUAAGAUUUGGAUUGUCAACCAUUAUAGCUAUUUUUUACACACUUUUUAACUUUGUUUUUGUUAUAAGAAUGUGUAUGAUUGUUAUAUGUCAAAGUAUAAUCAUGUUUGCUUUUAUGGCUUCCGAGUUUCAUGUCAUUUUUGGAAAGAUUAAUAUAUAUACUGAGUCCAUAAAAUCCUUCACCUAUGUUAAAUUCUAA